UUUACAGAAUCAAGAGAAUGUUAGCUCUGUCUAAUGGAGAAUUCAUAUUGAAGAAAGGCAUACUAAAUGUUUUGUCUCAGAGUCCCACUUAUGGUACGUGUCCAAAUAGGUAUUGCCC